rnacentral:rRNA from 2 species
UGUAGCGGUGGAAUGCGCAGAUAUCNGGAGGAACACCGNUGGCGAAGGCGGGUCUNUGGGCAGUAACUGACNCUGNGGAGCGAAAGCGUGGGGNGCGCACANGAUUANAUACCCNGGUAGUCCACNCCGUAAACGGUGGGUANUAGGUGUGGGUUUCCNUCCUUGGGAUCCGUNCCGUAGCUAACGCAUUAAGUACCCCGCCUGGGGAGUACGGCCGCAAGGNUAAAACUCAAAGAAAUUGACGGGGGCCCGCACAAGCGGCGGAGCAUGUGGAUUAAUUCGAUGCAACGCGAAGAACCUUACCUGGUUUUGACAUGCACAGGACGCCGGCAGAGAUGUCGGUUCCCUUGUGGCCUGUGUNCAGGUGGUGCAUGGCUGUCNUCAGCUCNUGUCGUGAGAUGUUGGGUUAAGUCCCNCAACGAGCGCA